GGUAGUUCUACUGGCAAUGGUUGGCAGAUUCGAAACCUCUAGAAGGUUAACAAAGGCUCUCCAUCACCGACUUCUACUCAAUACGUCCUUGUCGUACAGAAUGGUAACAUGUUUCUUAAUUAUCCAAGCUUUGGUACACGGGGAAACCCAACCCCUUGGACAUUGGUUGCAUGGCUAAAUUGAGAGGA
rnacentral:ribozyme from 1 species